AGCGGGUGAAAAGCCCGCUCGCCGGAAGACCAAGGGUUCCUGUCCAACGUUAAUCGGGGCAGGGUGAGUCGACCCCUAAGGCGAGGCCGAAAGGCGUAGUCGAUGGGAAACGGGUUAAUAUUCCCGUACUUGGUGUUACUGCGAAGGGGGGACGGAGAAGGCUAUGUUGGCCGGGCGACGGUUGUCCCGGUUUAAGCGUGUAGGUGUGUGUUCCAGGUAAAUCCGGUUCACUUUAACACUGAGGCGUGACGACGAGGCACUACGGUGCUGAAGCAACAAAUGCCCUGCUUCCAGGAAAAGCCUCUAAGCAUCAGGUAACAUCAAAUCGUACCCCAAACCGACACAGGUGGUCAGGUAGAGAAUACCAAGGCGCUUGAGAGAACUCGGGUGAAGGAACUAGGCAAAAUGGUGCCGUAACUUCGGGAGAAGGCACGCUGACAYGUAGGUGAAGUGAUUUACUCAUGGAGCUGAAGUCAGUCGAAGAUACCAGCUGGCUGCAACUGUUUAUUAAAAACACAGCACUGUGCAAACACGAAAGUGGACGUAUACGGUGUGACGCCUGCCCGGUGCCGGAAGGUUAAUUGAUGGGGUCAGCGCAAGCGAAGCUCCUGAUCGAAGCCCCGGUAAACGGCGGCCGUAACUAUAACGGUCCUAAGGUAGCGAAAUUCCUUGUCGGGUAAGUUCCGACCUGCACGAAUGGCGUAAUGAUGGCCAGGCUGUCUCCACCCGAGACUCAGUGAAAUUGAACUCGCUGUGAAGAUGCAGUGUACCCGCGGCAAGACGGAAAGACCCCGUGAACCUUUACUAUAGCUUGACACUGAACAUUGAGCCUUGAUGUGUAGGAUAGGUGGGAGGCUUUGAAGUGUGGACGCCAGUCUGCAUGGAGCCGACCUUGAAAUACCACCCUUUAAUGUUUGAUGUUCUAACGUGGACCCGURAUCCGGGUUGCGGACAGUGUCUGGUGGGUAGUUUGACUGGGGCGGUCUCCUCCUAAAGAGUAACGGAGGAGCACGAAGGUUGGCUAAUCCUGGUCGGACAUCAGGAGGUUAGUGCAAUGGCAUAAGCCAGCUUGACUGCGAGCGUGACGGCGCGAGCAGGUGCGAAAGCAGGUCAUAGUGAUCCGGUGGUUCUGAAUGGAAGGGCCAUCGCUCAACGGAUAAAAGGUACUCCGGGGAUAACAGGCUGAUACCGCCCAAGAGUUCAUAUCGACGGCGGUGUUUGGCACCUCGAUGUCGGCUCAUCACAUCCUGGGGCUGAAGUAGGUCCCAAGGGUAUGGCUGUUCGCCAUUUAAAGUGGUACGCGAGCUGGGUUUAGAACGUCGUGAGACAGUUCGGUCCCUAUCUGCCGUGGGCGCUGGAGAACUGAGGGGGGCUGCUCCUAGUACGAGAGGACCGGAGUGGACGCAUCACUGGUGUUCGGGUUGUCAUGCCAAUGGCACUGCCCGGUAGCUAAAUGCGGAAGAGAUAAGUGCUGAAAGCAUCUAAGCACGAAACUUGCCCCGAGAUGAGUUCUCCCUGA
rnacentral:rRNA from 1 species